CCCACUUGCCCUUCAUCCUUCUUUGACUAUUUUUUGGAUAUUUGGCUGGGAACAUGUGAGUUCCUGCAUGUUCAGCAAAACCAAUUGGUUGGGCUUUGGGUUUGCUAUCUUCACUAAACAACAAACUUUCCACCCCACUUUCUUUCUCUACUUCUUCCUCCCUUGAUUUUGCUUUGAUCUGCUAUUGGAUUUGCCUUUAUUUAUGACUUUUGGCAAAGAUUAAGAUGGGAGGAAUAAUGGGAUUUCCAAGAUCGGUUUCUGCAAAAGAUGAAUAGCAGUUGGGGAAGCACGUUUGCUAAGUGGGCGGCCUCUCUGCUGAAUGGAGUUGCAGAGGAUAAACACGAUCUCUUCCCACCUUUUAUUUUUUAUUUGUUUUAUUUUAUAUUUCUUUUGAAAACUAAGCUUAUCUCCUUUUUAAAUUCUAGAAGGAACAAUCAACAGCCUUAAAUAUCAACCUUCACGUCUUGGUCUUUUAUCCUGGGCCUCUUUCCUUAUCAUGUAAUUUUUUGUGUUCAACACUAUCAUUUUGAACUUAAAGCAUUCUUAGGUCACAAAACCAUUACCCAAAUCCAAGGACCAUCUUUGGUUUCCAAACUCUUGCCCACCUUGAAAUUAUCAAAGUGACCCACGUGGGUUUUCUUACCUUAGCGACCUUCUGACUUCUUCUAGCCAACUCCUUGGACAUUUUCCUAGCCAAAUCUUCGACCUGUUCUCUCAGUCAAGUCCUUGACUUUUCCUCCAUUAUCUAGCCAACUCAAAAGGCCAUUCUUUUGGCUAUUUUGUUUAUACUUAUAUAUAUAUAUAUAUGUAGUACUUUUAUUGGGUCUUCAAACCUCCUUCAACAUACUCCUUUCACACUUUCAAAAGCUUCAGCUACCAUGCCAUUCUAAUCCAGCCACAAAAUUUGUGUAAUUUAAGUACCUAAGAGAUGGGUUGUGUCCCAACCACAAUAUAUCGAAGGUGGAGUUCAACAAUGGCUUUUUCUACCUCAACCCCAAUUUUGUCGUCUUUCUUUAUUCUACUCUUAUCUCUUUGUCAUUUAUUUAUAUGUCAUUUCUUGGAGAAGACCUUGAUUCUUAACUAGAAUGUACAAAUCCAAGAAGACCAAAAGACUUGGCUACUCUUCUCCACAAGGUGGCUGGCCGUUGGGUUUUCAUUUGACUUGGUAUGAGAUUAAGACUACUUGACUCAGUUUGAGAUUGGAAACCACACCCAAACAUUGCCCCCUUGAUUCCUUGGCCUUCGAUUGGUGGAGGGUAAGUAAUCAAAAUUCUUACGACUAUUUAGUUUUCUCUAGAUGUUUCAAAUUCAUGAUUUACUGUAGCAAUUUAUGGUGUUUUGAACUAAAUUGAUGUUUAGAGAGAUACCCUAAUCAAUUUUUGAGAGACCUUGAACUUCAUAACCGUUAGAAAACCUAGGCAUUAUAAUUCCAAUUUGCCUCUAAAUGAUCAUAUUAUUCAAUUGAUUUCCAGUGUUCAUGUUGGUUUUCCUAGCAGUGGGGUGGAUAGAUGUAUUUAGCAAUUCACGCAUAAUGGUUUAUUUUUUGUUAAGUCAACAUAUAGCUCUUUUCUUCUAAAUGAGGUUGUAGCUAAAUGGGAUUGGCAGUUUAUUUGGAAUUUGCUUCCCCUCCCAAGGUUAAAAUUUUCCUUCUGAUUGUUUGCCAUCAGAAGUUACUUACUAAUGUACAAAGGAAGAAAAGAGGAGUCACUCAGAUUUCUUCAUGCCCUAGAUGUGCUUAUCCUAUGGAAAAUAUUGCUCAUAUAUUUAAGGAUUGUCAUCUCUCUCUCUCUCUCUCUCUCUCUCUCUAGCCAUUUGGAAUGGUUUUCGAGUUGAGGAUAGGUUUAUCCCUGAUGGGAUGGCUUUCGAAGAAUGGUUAUUAAGAAAUUUGCAGCCUAAAAGGAAGGAGUAUAAUGGUUUGCCUUGGCCGUUAGUUUUUAUUAUAUGCUUGUGGUUUACAUGGAAAUUGAGAUAUAAAGGUGUGUUUGAGCAGAAUUGUGUCAUGCCUAGUGAACCGCAUUUCAUUUUUCAGUAUGCUUUGGAGUGGUUUAAUGUUGUCAAACCACUUUCUCCUACUUCUAUGUCUUCUAUGGUUCAUCUUUAUUGGAUAGAUCUGAUUAUUGCAAAUUCAUUUUCUUUACACCUUCUUUUGCUUAAAAAAAAAGCCACCAACUAUGACAAUUGGUCAGAGGCCAACCAACAACCAAAAAGCUUCCCUUCUUCUCGUCCACCUGAUAUUUUGUAUGCAUAAGUUUGUACCAAUCAAUUAUUAGGCUAUGUAAGGUCUCCAAUCAUAGGCCAUAGGCCAAAUAUAGCCUUAAAAUAAUGUAAAACUCAUCUCUAGCCAUGGACUAAAAAAAAAAAAGGGCCAAAUUGGGAGGGCCAUAUUUAGCCAUUUAGCCUUCGAACCAGGCCACUUGUAGCCCAACUUUAGCCUAGGCCAAAAUUUUGUGUGGGCUCAAAGCAUGUGUUACUCAAGAAGAGAAAGUAUCAUGCAUGGGCAUCAGCACGAAAUAUCUUGUGUAACUGCAUGUCCAAAGGCUAAUAUUAAAGGCGCGCUAACCUUAACGAUGAUGUCAGCUAGCCGUUAUUAUUA